rnacentral:lncRNA from 10 species
CUGUAGUCCCAGCUACUCAGGAGGCUGAGGCAGGAAAAUUGCAUGAACCCAGGAGGCGAAUAUUUCAGUGAGCCGAGAUCACACCACUGUACUCCAACCUGGGCAACAGAGUGAGACUCCAUCUCAAAAAAAAAAAAAGAGCAUGUAUGUCAGGGACCACACAUGGGCAGCCCCCGUCCUACCCUCACUUGACAUUUUUUGUUGAGGCAUUCUGUUUCCUUAAAAAAAGAGAAUGGGUCGCUAGCCUUUAAAAACCAGAUUUUCACAUUUCUGGCUUCUCUUGAAAAAAAAAAUCCAUCAGUCUAACAAUGCUGGGUCCUCAUUUCUGGGUGGCAACAGAUGGCUGGAUCUGAAUGGAUGGGACGCAGCUCUUUUCACCACAGUCCCCAGGACUUGGCUGCAGGCUUGUUACAUUUAUUAUUGGGCUGAUGCCGUGUGGUUAUUUUUGUUUGUUUGCGAAGUUAAGAGGAAAGUGAAAUAUUUUCCUUGUCUCUCUCCAGAUUGGCCUCACACCUGGCCUAUUUUCUUCACUUACGUUACCUGCCUGGCUGUUGUUGGCUUUUGGAUUUUUGACCCUUGACUAGGUCAAACUUCCUAGAUGUCCUCUAAGACCUUCCUAACUGUCUGCAGCUUCCCUGGAGGCUGGCUCUGGAAGCCUGAGGAGGCAGGGAGCUGGCGUUUCCUGAGCACUUGAUAUGUGCCAGGUACUGUGUGUUACAUAGAUGAACUCCUGCAACCCUCACAGCAUCCCUACAGAGGGGGCACUUUGUGGAUGAGGAAACAGGUUCAGAGGGGUGAGUGGCAAAGGUGGGCUUUGCACCUGGACUUCGUGAUGCCAGAGCUUGUGUGUUUAACCAACGCUGUGUGGUUUUUCAGCCGGUUUUUUGUUUCUUUCUCUUAAGUCAAGGGACCUUCUGUUUAGAUUUGUGCCUGGAAGCCCGAUAUGGAAAACACAGGAGCGGGGCUGCUCGCUCGCUGGGGUUGACUGGGGAAGGGGGUUGUGUUGCUGCCUGCUCAGCCCAAGGCACCUCUUUUUUUUUUUUUUUUUUUUUUUGGAGACAGGUCUCACUCUCCCAGGCUGGAAUGCUGUGGCGCGAUCUUCUCUCACUGCAACUUCCGCCUCCUUGGUUCAAGUGAUUUUCCUACCUCAGCCUGCAGAAUAGCUGGGACUACAGGCGUGUACCAUCACACCUGGCUAAUUUUUU